rnacentral:rRNA from 1 species
AUACAGAGAGUGCAAGCGUUAAUCGGAAUUACUGGGCGUAAAGCGCGCGUAGGUGGAUACUUCAGUCGGAUGUGAAAGCCCUGGGCUUAACCUAGGAACUGCACCCGAAACUGAGUAUCUCGAGUAUGGUAGAGGGAAGUGGAAUUUCCGGUGUAGCGGUGAAAUGCGUAGAUAUCGGAAGGAACACCAGUGGCGAAGGCGACUUCCUGGACCAAUACUGACACUGAGGCGCGAAAGCGUGGGGAGCAAACAGGAUUAGAAACCCCAGUAGUCC